rnacentral:rRNA from 1 species
AUUGAACGCUGGCGGAAUGCUUUACACGUGCAAGUCGAACGGCAGCACGGACUUCGGUCUGGUGGCGAGUGGCGAACGGGUGAGUAAUGUAUCGGAACGUGCCCAGUCGUGGGGGAUAACGUAGUGAAAAUUACGCUAAUACCGCAUACGAUCUAUGGAUGAAAGCGGGGGAUCGCAUGACCUCGCGCGAUUGGAGCGGCCGAUAUCAGAUUAGGUAGUUGGUGGGGUAAAGGCCCACCAAGCCAACGAUCUGUAGCUGGUCUGAGAGGACGACCAGCCACACUGGAACUGGGAAACGGUCCAGACUCCUACGGGAGGCAGCAGUGGGGAAUUUUGGACAAUGGGCGAAAGCCUGAUCCAGCCAUUCCGCGUGCAGGAUGAAGGCCCUCGGGUUGUAAACUGCUUUUGUACAGAACGAAAAGGUUUCUACUAAUACUAGGAGCUCAUGACGGUACUGUAAGAAUAAGCACCGGCUAACUACGUGCCAGCCGCCGCCGUAA